rnacentral:lncRNA from 1 species
GGCGGGGGCUCUGCAGCCGCGCGCUCGCACACUCGCUGUUCUCCAGCCUUGCACACCCAGACUAGCUGGCCGAGCCGGGUGCACCGUUGCCAGCAGCCCGCGGGGCAAACACGGCCGCUCGCUUCGGAGACCCAUGCCCGCAGGGCACUGCACACUUCGUAAAUGUUUUGCACUUUGGGGAGGCGGGACUGAAGCGGGGGUCCUAGGGAAAGGCCGGGCGCCUGCGGUUCCUGGGGUCCUGCAGCCGCGCGAGACGGGCCGCGGCUGUGGGUCUGCAAGGCUGUCUGCCCGGCUCGAGAGGCCCCCGCCCCUUUCCAGGCGUCUGGUGCUGGGGCCGGGCCGGAGCAGCUGGCGGAGAGGUCGCGCUGAGAGCUCCUGCCCUUGCCGCGGCCCACAGGUUGCCAACAGGUUUGCUCGCACGACCCCUCCGCCAGAGCUUCCCUAAGUCACCCCACAUUUUCCUCGGCUAGCCACUCUUCCCAUCUUGCCUCCCCUCGGGACCUCAGGCGCCCCCAAGCGCCCCGGGGGCACACCUCCUUCCGGCUGCCGAACCCGAGCCCCGCUCCAGCGGCGGGAGUCCGGCACUCGGGUCUCAGCCGCCUCGAAGGGGCCCUCGCGGAGCAGGAGUGCGGAGAACGCUCCUCCCAAACGCCCGCGGGGAGGGGCGUAGGCUGGCAAGCGAGGCUGGUGGCCUCCCCCGCGCCUCCGAUCCCGCCCCGCGCCCAACCCGGGUCCUGCUAAUCUCACCUGCUCCACCUGUCGCCGUUAUUUAUCUCAGCGUGUGCGCAAGAAUUGUUUUAGGUCGGCCCGUGGGAGCGCAGACAAUCGCAGCAGCUAACAAGCGGGGAGACUACGAACCCCCCCUCCCUUCGCCCCCUGGAACUGCUCAAUAUCUUGAUGGUGGUUCCACGGCUCUAUGCAUUUGUCAAAACUCAAAGAUCUCCACACUCCAAAAAGAGAUACACAGCCACCAUGCCUCUUCCCGCCUCCCCCAUCCAGUCAGAAAAGGAAGUGGUGCCAAUUGAGGGAGUGAUGAGGGAUAGCUUCUUCUAUUGUCAUCCUCUUCCCAUUAUUAGAGGGUUCCUGGAAGUCUCUACCCCUUCCAGGAAGCUCUCAGGGAGUGAUCACAGCGACUGUGGCUCUUCCUGGCUUUGCCCAUUCUGAGCUGAAUGUGUACUUCUCCAUGUCGUGCGAAACUGCGCUCUGAUUUUCCAAUUAGCUGUUCCAACACCAAACAGCAGUCAAUUGCUCCUCUUUGGCUUUGGGGUGAGUUACUGGGGACAGAGAACUGCACUGACUCAGCUGACAUUCUCUUGACUUUGCCCUCUCUAAACUCACACACUAGCCUGGAGGAGAAAGAAGGUUCAUGAUGGCGGGGUGGGGGGAACAGAGGACCAAGUUAGCCAGGCUGGGAUUGAACAUUUGCUGUAGCUAAUCCACUUGUGAAUACUCUGCAGCUAAUUGUAUGCAGUGUAAAUACCUUGACAGCCUGUUUGUGUGUGUCUGUAAAUUCAGCUGUCUCCUCCCCCAAGUGUGCCCUGCCUGCUGCCUCAACACAGCCCAGUGUCUGACAAUGGGAGGCAACCUCAGAGAAGGGAAAGAGCCCUAGACAUCAGUCCUGCGUCCCAGUCCUAACCUCUCUAGGCCUCAGUUUCCCCAGAUGUAAACUAGGUAAGAUCCCUGUCUUCCUAGAGAGAAGUGGAGUAAUAAGAAUAACAGCUGACACCACAUGCCAGGCACUGUAUUAACUAUUUAAUCUUCAUAACCAUUAUGUAAGACAGGGCUGUUAUUCUCAUGGAAUGACAUAGGAAGAUGUAGUGACUCACUCAGCUGCUAAGGGGCCAAACUGAGCUUUGACCUCAGUAGCUUGGCUCGGCGACCUUGCCCUCUCCCACUGUUCUAUACUGAAGAGGGGCAAGGGCCUAGGUAUCAAAUAAUGUUUCCACAAGAACUGUUUCCUGUUCCCUUUACAGACACAGAGAACAAUACUCUGGCCCCCAAAUUGCACCAAGGGCAGGGGGGACAUGAGAGCUAGACUGCUAGACCUGACAUGGGCCAUAGGGCACAGGAUGAGCCUGAGGUCAGGCUAUCUGGAGGCUUGGUGGUCAGCACCCAGCUGCCAAGUCUUCGGUUCCACUCAAGAUCAU